GGCCAGAGCCGCGGCAGAGGCAGAGGAGGGAGCUAGGAGGUGAGACCCGCUCCACCCUGCUCGCCUAGGCUCGGCGGAGGCUAAGAGCAGGGCAGCCUCCUCUGCCCGGCGCCCGCUGAGCCCCGGCAUCUGGAACUCAGGGCCCUGGCGCUCCAGGGGCGGGAACUGGCCGGGAGGACCGCGCGGGAGAGCACGGAUGGGCACCCUGGGCUCGAUCCUUCAUCUCCUCGUCCUCCAGGCAGCACAAGCCAUUGUGGAAUCUCCACCAGGUGUACAGAACGGUGCCUCUGCGUCCUGCCACUCAGGACCUCUCAAGUCCCCGAUGUGAUGGCUCCUCAGCAUGAUCAGGAACCAAAAAGAAGAAUGUACUUCAUCUGGUUGGGCUGGAUUCCCUCUGAUAAGCCUUCCCAGUUGACUGAAAGAUGAGGCUAGGCUCUAGCAAGUUGAAGUCAAACCAGCUCCUUCAAGAAGCUUUGAGCAGAAUGAAGUGGGGAGGACCCAGCUUCCAGCCCAGGAAGCCCACUGUACCUGGAGCCAUCUGGGAUAAGACUUUGACCCAUGACUCCCAUAUCCACAGCCUGUCCAUCCUAGCCCAUCCCAGUUUAUCCUGUAUCAUUUGAGCUGGGAUUCCCACAUCCUCUGAGUUGGAAGUCCCAUCUCAAGUCUUCAAUAAAGACUCUUGAAUAUUGAAUCACA
rnacentral:lncRNA from 1 species